UACAGAGGGGGCAAGCGUUGUUCGGAAUUACUGGGCGUAAAGGGCGCGUAGGCGGCCUUCUAAGUCGAACGUGAAAUCCCCGGGCUCAACCCGGGAACUGCGUCCGAUACUGGAAGGCUUGAAUCCGGGAGAGGGAUGUGGAAUUCCAGGUGUAGCGGUGAAAUGCGUAGAUAUCUGGAGGAACACCGGUGGCGAAGGCAAUCCCCUGGGCCUGCACUGACGCUCAUGCACGAAAGCGUGGGGAGCAAACAGG
rnacentral:rRNA from 1 species